rnacentral:misc_RNA from 1 species
CAACUUCCACCUGGCUUACCUCCNUCAGUUAUGCGUCAUGACUUGUAUCGUCUUGAGCGUAUUGUGGGUUUCCUGUGUUGCAUACCUUUCUAAUGGUAUCGUGCUGAUUGAUCGAAGUCCCUUUUCAUCUUGUGUUGCUUUUUGUGACGCAUGAUGAACAUCGAGGCGGUCUCUAUGUUCCACCACGUUGAUGCUCCUGUUUCAAUGUUGUGGCCCAUUGAGUGUUGCUUGGUUUCGUGGAUACAGAACAUGAUUUGGGCAUAGGGUUACUUGUGACUCUUGUUCUGUCCUUUAUCAGUGUUCUUUAUAACGACGGUUCAUGCGCGCCUAGGCUCGUACCUGCGCGAUGUUCUUUGUCAAAGAGGAAUGCUACCUGGUUGAUCCUGCCAGUAGUCAUAUGCUUGUCUCAAAGAUUAAGCCAUGCAUGUGUAA